ACAAGCGGUGGAGCAUGUGGUUAAUUCGAUGAUACGCGAGGAACCUUACCUGGGCUCAAAUGUAUGUUGACGUAUUCUGAAAGGGAUACUUCUUCGGACAAUAUACAAGGUGCUGCAUGGUUGUCGUCAGCUCGUGCCGUGAGGUGUCGGGUUAAGUCCCAUAACGAGCGCAACCCUAUCAUUAGUUGCCAUCAGGUCAAGCUGGGGACUCUAAUGAAACUGCCUACGCAAGUAGUGAGGAAGGUGGGGAUGACGUCAAAUCAGCACGGCCCUUACGUCCAGGGCUACACACGUGCUACAAUGGCCGGUACAGAGGGCAGCUACCUGGUGACAGGAUGCAAAUCUCCAAAGUCGGUCUCAGUUCGGAUCGGAGUCUGCAACCCGACUCCGUGAAGUUGGAUUCGCUAGUAAUCGCGCAUCAGCCAUGGCGCGGUGAAUACGUUCCCGGGCCUU
rnacentral:rRNA from 1 species